UAGGGAAUCUUCGGCAAUGGACGAAAGUCUGACCGAGCAACGCCGCGUGAGUGAAGAAGGUUUUCGGAUCGUAAAACUCUGUUGUUAGAGAAGAACAAGGACGUUAGUAACUGAACGUCCCCUGACGGUAUCUAACCAGAAAGCCACGGCUAACUACGUGCCAGCAGCCGCGGUAAUACGUAGGUGGCAAGCGUUGUCCGGAUUUAUUGGGCGUAAAGCGAGCGCAGGCGGUUUCUUAAGUCUGAUGUGAAAGCCCCCGGCUCAACCGGGGAGGGUCAUUGGAAACUGGGAGACUUGAGUGCAGAAGAGGAGAGUGGAAUUCCAUGUGUAGCGGUGAAAUGCGUAGAUAUAUGGAGGAACACCAGUGGCGAAGGCGGCUCUCUGGUCUGUAACUGACGCUGGGGCUCGAGAGCGUGGGGAGCAAACAAG
rnacentral:rRNA from 1 species